rnacentral:lncRNA from 1 species
AAGCAAUGGGUAUAAUCCAAAAGCACAAGCAUGAAAAACUUAGGGUCAUUCCACAAACAAACCAUGCAUGUAGCUGCAAGGAUAAAACCUCUUCAGAUAAUGAUACUAAUGGAAACCAUAUUAGGAAGAUAGAGCAUGGAAAUCUAAGAGAAUUUCAUGAUGCAAAUUCAAAUCUAGAUGAUCGUGUGUCACAACUAUUGUUGAGGGAUUAUGCACGUUUAAAUAUAUCCCUUGAUGCUAAGUCCAAUUCCACAAGGUUUAAUCGCAUAAAUGACUUGUGAAUUAUAAUCUGCAUGCAAUGAUGAAUUAGGAUACUAGACAUGCAUGCAUGUAACUUAAGUUCAAUUUUGACCGCAAAAUUCUAAGGCUGCAACAACAUACUCAUGGAAUAUGUUUCUUUUACUUUGUAACAACAAAAUUUGAACAACAUUUUUGGUGUUUUUUCAUGGUGAUUUUUUUGUGUUGUUCCUUAAUUCUUGUUACUGAGGUUGUUUGUACCUUGGUUGGGCCCAUAUGUGUUCUAUCUCAUUUUGGCUGGUCUCUAGAGAUAAAUGUUUGUUUAUCCUUUGUUUUUAAUGAUAGAAAUGUAAUGUUAUUAUAAUUAAAUGAUUAAUGGUUCGUUGAAAAUUGUAUUUCUUGUUAAUUUUUUGAAACACUAUUUUAUGAGCAUUUUUUAUGUAAUCCUACCUUUGUUAGUUAGCACAUAGUUUAUCAGGAACAAUGAUAUAUUCUCCUACUAUAUUGUCUUAUCAAUCUUCCUACUCAUAAGAAAGUCACAUAUGUCAUGAAGUAAUAUUUAUUUAUUAAUGAUUUGUGUACAAGUUACAUGUGUCACUUUUUUGUGGAUAGAGUGAUUAAUAGGGAAUGAAGAUCAUCUGUCCCAUUUUUUGUAUCCUAAUCCAAUCAAAAAAGUGUCAAUUAAUUAAGAAAAAAAUAUUAUAAAAAUGGAAAAUAAUUUUUUUAUAUUACUUUGUGUAAUAUAAUUGACUUGAGAUAUUGAAACAUAAUUUUUUUGGAAUAUGUGAUCUUUAUUCGUUAGUAGGUGGAUUUAGCAUCACUCAAUUUACUAUGAACAAAUUUCUUUUAAAAAGUAUGCUAUGAACAUUUGAGUGAAAAUCUUCUAUACAAUUCUUCAAUGUAAAACAACUAUAUCAUUAGAAAUUUCAAUAACAGUUUUAUAAUGAUUAAAUCUUUUUUUAUUUUAGUAUCUUUUAAGACUUUUUUUACAUGCCGUAAUAGUUUCUUUUAUAUCUUACCAUAGCAUAACAAUAAAUACAUGAGAACAUUAAAAUAUAUUUAUCAUGCUGGACUAUAUAAACUAUCAAAAAGUAUUAUUAUAAUGGGAUCAUGUUAUUUGAAUCAUGUCAAAGCUUAUUAUUUAAAUACUACAAUGUAAAGUAUAGACAAUCUAUAAAACAUUUGUUUUAUAAUGUUGAAAUAUUUUGCAUUUUAGUAUCUUUUAAGACUUUUAUUAUAUGUCAAAUUAGUUUCUUUCAUAUCUUACCGUAACAUAACAAAAAAUAUAUCAAAGCAUUAAAACAUGUUUAUCAUGUUGGAUUUUAUAAACUACAAAAAAAUAUGAUUAUAAUUGGAUUUUAGCAAUUGGAUCAUGUUAUAUGGAUCAUAUCAAAGCUUAGGAUUCAGAUACUAGAAUGUAAUGUACAAACAAUUCUAAUAAAAUUUAAAAUGGUAGACAACUCACAGAAACAUAGACUAUUAAAGUUUUUUAAUAUUUCCAUAAAACAAUUAUUUUAUAAUGAUUAAAUAUUUUUAUUUUAAUAUCUUUUAGGACUUUUAUUACAUGUCAUAUUAGUUCCUUUUAAAUCUUACCAUAGCAUAUCAAGAAAUAUAUCAUAACAUUAGAACAUGUUUAUCAUGUUGAAUUAUAUAAACUAUCGAAAAAAUAUGAUUAUAAUUGGAUCAUGUUAUAUGAAUCGUGUUAAAGUUUAUGUUUCAAAUACUAUAAUCUAAAGUAUAGACACUUCUCAUAAAAUUUGAAAUCAUUGGUGGUUCAAAUAAAUAUAGAUAAAUCAAAUUUUUCAAUAUUUCCAUAAAAAAUCUUGAUUUAUAUUAUUGAAAUCUUUUACAUUUUAGUAUCUUUCAAGAUUUUUAUUAGUUAGUUUCUUCUAUAUCCUUACAAUAUCAUAACACAAAAUAUAUCAUAGCAUUAAAACAUGUUUAUCUUGAUGGAUUAUAUAAACAAUCGAAAAGUAUAAAUUGGAUCAUGUUAUAUGAGUCCUGGUAAAGCUUAUGAUUCAAAUACUUGAAUAUAAAGUAUAGACAAAUCUGAUAAAAUUUGAAAUCGUAGACAAUUCAGAGAAACGUAGACAAAAUAAUUUUUUCCACAUUACCAUAAAACACUUGUUUUAUAAUGAUGAAAUCUUUUCUAUUUUAGUAUCUUUUAAGACUUUUAUUACAUGCCAUAUUAGUUUCUUUUAUAUAUUUACCAUAUCAUAACAAGAAAUAUAUCAAAGCAUUAAAAGAUGUUUAGCGUGUUGAAUUAUAUAAAUUAUUGAAAAGUAUUAUUACAAUUGGAUUUGAGCAAUUGGAUCAUGUUAUAUAAAUCAUAUCAAAGAUGAUUAAGAUGCUAGAAUGAAAUGUUGGAGAAAUUACUCCAUCCGAAAUCCGAUUAAAUGCGGAAGUCCUUAUGACUAUGGUUUUGUUCCCAUAACCUAAUGUUCAUGUCUAUACAUAAACCCGAAUGGAACAACCAUGGUCCAGACUGAAGAAACCCCAAAUGAGUUCACGGUAAAGAUGAAGAACAUACCUUGUUGAGCCAUUUCCGGAAUCUCGAAGGUAUGAGGGUGAGAUGAUCUUCCAGAUGAUAGAGCGCCAAAUGGUUUUCCUUAGUUUCUCUCUGGAGGGGAAUGAGAGAAUGUACCUUAGUUUCUUGAGAGUGUGUUAUGUUGUGUGUAGUGAGGAGAGACCCUAUCCUUAUCCUUG